UGAGGUCAGUGAGUCCUGCCCGGAGUUAUUUUAAAUACAGACGUUUAUAGGGGUUUUCCUGCGACUUGGAAAAUAAAACACAGUAACCUAACAUGAUAGAAACUUGUCUUGUUGUCCAAGCUUGGUGAAAAUCUUGUGAGAAUGAAGCAUAGAAAUAGAUAACUACGAGUUUGAUUGUUGAAUGGAAACGGCACGUAUCCAGCUCAAAAUACGAAAAAUUGGAAAUGAUAAGAUAAAGCGGUGCUCUCUACGGUGAUGAUGAUACCGCCUGAGGGGUGCCACGCUGAGACAAUAACCGCGGAGCUGUCAACAAAACAAGGCAUUUAGAAAUAGCCCAUUCCAGCUAUAAGCAUGCGCGCGCACUCGCCAUGGGAACCUAUCUCAACUACCGGCAUGCAGCGCGCGCUUCGUUUGAUGUAAGCUUAAAAAAGCGCGCGCUGCAUUCUGAUAGUUGAGGUAGGUUUCUAAGAUUAUGCGCGCGCAAACUUAUAGCUGGAAUGGCCUAUUGAUGGAAGAGCAACAUCGGGCAUGUAGAACUCUCAAAAUAAUAAUAAACGCAGUAUUUAUAUAGCAUAUAGGAAAAUAAGACAAGAAAUGUGAAAGCAAUAUAAGUAUUUCUAGAUACAGGCACAAGACAUGGGCGUUAACCAAGGUGGCGGCUGUUGUCCUUUCCGGCGUGAAUUUGUUUGACGUUCGACAGAGAAAUAUCCAAGAGCAUGGAAUGGAGAGUAAUUCAGGUAAUCGUUUCAAUAAAUGACAUUUCAAUAAUAUUCAAGUCUGCCGAAAGGGAAAUCGCCUGUGUGCACCUGUGCAUAAGGACAUAUAGUCUGAUGAUGUGAAAGUGGUUAACAAAACUAAAUGAUUGUCGUAUAUCAGAAUCUGGAAGCUACCAUGCAAGCAUUACCUCUGAUAACUUCAUUCAAUACAUCAAUCACUAAAUUGAUUGAAGUUUUUCAAUUGAAAUUUAUUCAGUUUUAGUGAAAAUAAGGAACCUGUCAAGCCUCGUACAGACAUCACCAACAUGAAUCACUUUUGCGGGCGCCACUUCGCAAGACAAAGGAAAUGCUAGCGAACUACUUCACGGCACUUCCCAUCAAGGUGUUUACCAGCAAUGCUGCUGCUGUUAGCACAAGGCUUUAAAAUUGUUUAAAAUAUCUCUGACAUCUGUUUCAUUACCUAUCUCUCCGAAUAUCUUAUCUCUAUUUGCUUUGAAUAAACUGGACAAAAAGAUUCGUUCA